rnacentral:tRNA from 1 species
GACCUAGCAUGGCAUAGUGGUUGAGUGCUGGACUAUGAUGCUAGAGACCAGGGUUCGAUUCCCCACUUGGCCA